rnacentral:rRNA from 1 species
UACGAAGGGAGCUAGCGUUGUUCGGAAUCACUGGGCGUAAAGCGCACGUAGGCGGAUGUGUCAGUCAGGGGUGAAAUCCCGGGGGCUCAACCUCGGAACUGCCUUUGAUACAGCACGUCUUGAGUCCGAUAGAGGUGGGUGGAAUUCCUAGUGUAGAGGUGAAAUUCGUAGAUAUUAGGAAGAACACCGGUGGCGAAGGCGGCCCACUGGAUCGGUACUGACGCUGAGGCGCGAAAGCGUGGGGAGCAAACAGG